rnacentral:misc_RNA from 1 species
AAGUCGUAACAAGGUUUCCGUAGGUGAACCUGCGGAAGGAUCAUUAACACGUAUCCACGUAACAACCAACGCGAAUUGUUUUCAUUCUCUCCCUCGCGUCGCAACCAAGCGCACGAGGCUAGAAAACAAACAUUUUCCACACACUUUUGCAAGUUGACUUUUUCUACGUGUAUCCUCGCGGAUACGCAUCGUUUAUUACAACAAACGAAGAAAACAACUCUUAGCAAUGGAUAUCUUGGUUCUC